CCCUGCAGGUAGGCAGCACUUUCCGCAAUGCUUCGAAGAUCCAGCCGGUACUGCAUGAAAUACGCCAACCUGGAGCUCACCACACGAGGCGAGUUUCCUCACGGUAUGAAGGAGCCUGGAUUUGUGAAGAAGCUGGACAAGAACAUUCCUUGGUACUUUUCGACAUAUCGUUCCAUGUACCAUUGGCCCGUCGCCGGAGAGGGCUGGAGCGAUCUUAACGAAGCUGAAAAGCAUCACGAUCUCCACAUGUACUACACGCUGGCGUGGUGGAAACUCGGUGAGGGCAUUUUCGACGCUGACGACGAGGAUCGCUAAGCAUUAGUCUCAAGGAUCUUUCUGAGGAGACGUUCACAGCACUGUUGAUGGGUUUGGCGUGAGUUAAAGAAACAAAUGCAAGAGUCUGCAUAAGUGCGGGACUUCAAUAUACAUGUCAUUGUACUCUUGGCGCCACUGGAUUGCUCUUCUGCUGCACCGAUGUCACAAGAGCUGUUGCUUGAGCCGAUAGGACCUCUUGCAGCGUUCUGCUCAUUCCUUUUCAACACGCUCCUGUGUGAAUGACUAUGAGUAGGAAUGCAUACCUUAAUUUCCAGCUUUCCUGAUCUCCUUUGUGUAUCUUGUCACCUCGUGCCCUCUCCAUUGCCUUUCCCUGUAG
rnacentral:misc_RNA from 1 species